rnacentral:rRNA from 1 species
UGGGGAAUAUUGGACAAUGGGCGCAAGCCUGAUCCAGCCAUGCCGCGUGAGUGAUGAAGGCCCUAGGGUUGUAAAGCUCUUUCACCGGUGAAGAUAAUGACGGUAACCGGAGAAGAAGCCCCGGCUAACUUCGUGCCAGCAGCCGCGGUAAUACGAAGGGGGCUAGCGUUGUUCGGAUUUACUGGGCGUAAAGCGCACGUAGGCGGACUAUUAAGUCAGGGGUGAAAUCCCGGGGCUCAACCCCGGAACUGCCUUUGAUACUGGGAGUCUUGAGUUCGAGAGAGGUGAGUGGAAUUCCGAGUGUAGAGGUGAAAUUCGUAGAUAUUCGGAGGAACACCAGUGGCGAAGGCGGCUCACUGGCUCGAUACUGACGCUGAGGUGCGAAAGCGUGGGGAGCAAACAGG